rnacentral:rRNA from 1 species
UACGUAGGUGGCGAGCGUUGUCCGGAAUUACUGGGUGUAAAGCGCGCGUAGGCGGGAGGCCAAGUCCGCUGUGAAAUCGCCCGGCUCAACUGGGCGCGGUCGGUGGAAACUGGUCACCUGGAGGACGGUAGAGGCGAGUGGAAUUCCCGGUGUAGUGGUGAAAUGCGCAGAUAUCGGGAGGAACACCAAUGGCGAAGGCAGCUCGCUGGGACGUGACUGACGCUGAGACGCGAAAGCGUGGGGAGCAAACAGG